rfam:Endozoicomonas numazuensis strain DSM 25634 scaffold00003, whole genome shotgun sequence.
GGGGCUAUAGCUCAGCUGGGAGAGCGCAACACUGGCAGUGUUGAGGUCAGCGGUUCGAUCCCGCUUAGCUCCA